UACGGGGGGGGUAAGCGUUGUUCGGAAUUACUGGGCGUAAAGGGCUCGUAGGUGGCCAACUAAGUCAGACGUGAAAUCCCUCGGCUUAACCGGGGAACUGCGUCUGAUACUGGAUGGCUUGAGUUCGGGAGAGGGAUGCGGAAUUCCAGGUGUAGCGGUGAAAUGCGUAGAUAUCUGGAGGAACACCGGUGGCGAAGGCGGCAUCCUGGACCGACACUGACGCUGAGGAGCGAAAGCCAGGGGAGCAAACGGG
rnacentral:rRNA from 1 species